GACGACCUCUGGCGGCGCGCCUAACACAUGCAAGUCGAACGGAAUCAAGAGGAGCUUGCUUUUCUUGAUUUAGUGGCGAACGGGUGAGUAACGCGUGAGUAACCUGCCCUGGAGUGGGGGACAACAGUUGGAAACGACUGCUAAUACCGCAUAAGCCCACGGUGCCGCAUGGCACUGCGGGAAAAGGAUUUAUUCGCUUCAGGAUGGACUCGCGUCCAAUUAGCUAGUUGGUGAGGUAACGGCCCACCAAGGCGACGAUUGGUAGCCGGACUGAGAGGUUGAACGGCCACAUUGGGACUGAGACACGGCCCAGACUCCUACGGGAGGCAGCAGUGGGGGAUAUUGCACAAUGGGGGAAACCCUGAUGCAGCGACGCCGCGUGGAGGAAGAAGGUUUUCGGAUUGUAAACUCCUGUCGUUAGGGACGAUAAUGAUGGUACCUAACAAGAAAGCACCGGCUAACUACGUGCCAGCAGCCGCGGUAAAACGUAGGGUGCAAGCGUUGUCCGGAAUUACUGGGUGUAAAGGGAGCGCAGGCGGACCGGCAAGUUGGAAGUGAAAUCCAUGGGCUCAACCCGUGAAUUGCUUUCAAAACUGCUGGCCUUGAGUAGUGCAGAGGUAGGUGGAAUUCCCGGUGUAGCGGUGGAAUGCGUAGAUAUCGGGAGGAACACCAGUGGCGAAGGCGACCUACUGGGCACCAACUGACGCUGAGGCUCGAAAGCAUGGGUAGCAAACAGGAUUAGAUACCCUGGUAGUCCAUGCCGUAAACG
rnacentral:rRNA from 1 species